ACUCCUACGGGAGGCAGCAGUAGGGAAUCUUCCACAAUGGGCGCAAGCCUGAUGGAGCAACACCGCGUGAGUGAAGAAGGGUUCGGCUCGUAAAGCUCUGUUGUUAAAGAAGAACACGUAUGAGAGUAACUGUUCAUACGUUGACGGUAUUUAACCAGAAAGUCACGGCUAACUACGUGCCAGCAGCCGCGGUAAUACGUAGGUGGCAAGCGUUAUCCGGAUUUAUUGGGCGUAAAGAGAGUGCAGGCGGUUUUCUAAGUCUGAUGUGAAAGCCUUCGGCUUAACCGGAGAAGUGCAUCGGAAACUGGAUAACUUGAGUGCAGAAGAGGGUAGUGGAACUCCAUGUGUAGCGGUGGAAUGCGUAGAUAUAUGGAAGAACACCAGUGGCGAAGGCGGCUACCUGGUCUGCAACUGACGCUGAGACUCGAAAGCAUGGGUAGCGAACAGGAUUAGAUACCCCGUGGUAGGAUAGCG
rnacentral:rRNA from 1 species